CCAGAUUUACAAAUGGUUAUUUUCCACUAUGAUGUCAAUACACAUUAAUUUGUAAAAUAUGCAAAUAUUUUUCCUGUAACUAUUCAAAUGGAAAAUAUUCAACAAAGAAUACUAAUUUCCUUCUUAAUUCCUGUGUUGUGUGAUCCAAGUCACUUGAUCUUUCUGGGUUUGUUUUCUUUAGUAUCAAUUUAUAUUACUAGAAUUUAACAACAGUUGUGUAAUACAAUCUUUUAAUACUUGUAAAUACUCUGCAGUGCAAAAUUCUGUAUUUAAAAAUUCCUAUUUCCUAAUUGCUUAAACAUUUAGCUGCAUUAUUUGUAGUGUUUCCAAGUGAUGCUUAAAGACAAUCCAUAUAAAACCAACAUCCUCAGGAAAAGAAUAAGUGGUACUGCCUAGAGAAAAAGUCCCUCCUACUUAUUACAUCUACCCUCCUGGUUGAAUCUUUUUUUUUUUUCUUUUUCUGAGACAGAGUCUCGCUCUGUUGCCAGGCUGGAGUGCAGUGGCGCAAUCUCAGCUCACUGCAACCUCCGCCUCCCAGGUUCAAGCAAUUCUCCUGCCUCACCCUCCCAAGUAGCUGGGACUACAGGCACACACCACCACGCCCAGCUAAUUUUUGUAUUUUUAGUAGAGAUGGGGUUUCACCACGUUGGCCAGGAUGGUCUCAAUCUCUUCACCUCAUGAUCUGCCCACCUCGGCCUCCCAAAGUGCUGGGAUUACAGGCAUGAGCCAUUGCGCCCGGCCUGAAUUUUUUUAAUAUGAUAUAGAAAUGAGAAAAAUCAUUAUGAGAAAAUAACACAUACUUAUGAGAAAAAAUUAGCUUUGUAUAGAUCUUAAAAAGCCCUUUAGUGAGACAGGGUUUUAAAACUCUUCUUGGUGACCUAACAAAAAAACCCAAACAAAUAUUUAAAAAACAACAACAACAACAACAACAACAAAUCUGAAGCUGAUUCACAAGAGUCCAAGUCUUGGUGGCCAGUGUUUGCUGCUUAGCUGACUCUGAGUGACUAAGCUCUUCUUUGUAGCCAAUUCACCUGUUUCAAUAGUUGACUAAUAAAAAAAAUAGGCAAUAAAAUAUGUUGCAGAAUGAGGGGGUGCCAAAGGAGAGAGAACUGAAAUCUAAUUGGAAAAAAGUGAAGCGAAACAUAGUGUAAGCUCAUUCACAAGACAUUACUACCCAGAACUCUGAAUUCAAGUUUUCUCUUCUUCUCCAUUUUUGAAAGUGUCAGAUGACAAGAAAGCAAGCUGUUUACUAAAGAACUGCAGCAUGAAUAAUUUCUGUAUUAUAAAUGAUAAGAUAUUCUAUUUUGAGGUUAGUUUAUAAUUCAUUUCUGUCUGUUGUGCCUAAAAUCUUGGCUAUUCAGAAUGAUGACGGCUCCUCAGAUACUAUGGAAAUAAUAAAUCAUCAAAGGCAUACAUUUAUUCACUCUUUCGUGUUAACUAAAGCAGAAUGUAUAGCGCGGAGACUUUGUAAACAACUCUUACUUAACUGAAACUACAAUAGAAUCUGUGUACUAGCCAUACAAAAUCCACUAUACAGUGUUCCUUCCUUUAUUAUUGAGGUUAAAAAUUCACAUAACAUAAAACUUACCGUUUUUACCAUUUUAACCAUUUUAAAGCAUACAAUUCGGUGGCCUUAGUAUGUUCACAGUGUUGUGUGAUCAUCACCACUCUCUAACUCCACAACAUUUUAAUCACUCCAAGAAGAAACCUGUACCCAUUAAGUAGACAUUCCUCAUUCAUUCCUCCUCCCAGCUCCUGGCAAAAUCUGCUUUCUACAGACUUACAUAGUCUGGACAUUUCAUGUAAACGGAAUCAUAAAAUAGGUAUGAUACAUGAUACAUACAUACAAUAGGGAUGAUGCAUGAUAAAAGGUACGCAGCCUUUUCUGACUGGCUUCUUUCACUUAGCAUGAUGUUUUCAAGAUUCAUCCACGUUGUAGUGUGUAUCAGUACUUCAUUCCUUUUUAUGACUGAAUAAUAUUCCAUUAUUUGGAUAGACAACAUUUUGUUUAUCCACUCACAGGUUCGUACUGGCAUUUGAGUUGUCUCGUUCUUUAAAUUUAAACUUUUAUUUCUGUCAGUGUAAUAUAUAUCCAUAAACAAGUAAGAGGGCACUGAGUCCCAGAGCAAACAAACAGCUGUUCUCUGUCCUACUGUUUUCUCUCGCAGGCAGCUGCUUUCAAAUCAUUUAUCUGUUUCUUCUGAUAAGAGAUUCUAUAGACUGUUACUUCCAUUUUAAAAUGCUCAUACCUCUAUGUCUUCAUUUUGACUUUAUUUUUUGAAUUUUUUUAAUUUUUCUACUAUGGGAAAUGAGAAUUUAGCUUUAACUCCACUGCCACCUGUACACAUAUUACUCCAUUCGCCUUCACAAUUUAGUUAGAACACAGUUUUCGGUUAACUCAAGAAUUGGUAUUGAUAAUUAUAUAGAUACUGUUGAUAUCAUAACUACAUAGUUUUAGAUUUCCUUUUAAAACUUCUUAUAAACUCUGAGAUGAAUAAUUUCAUCAUUUUAAAUUUAAUUCAUGAUAUACUUAAUUCCUAAACCUUAUAGAACUGUAACAUUCCCCUCAGCAUUUUCAGACCCCACACACAGUGUGUGUGUGUGUGUGUGUGUGUGUGUGUGUGCGCGCGCACACACGCACACAUCCUUCAGCAGUUUCCUGACAAAGGUCGUUUUUUUUUAGGUUUUUCAUUUUGCCCAUAUUUUAUUGAUCAUUUCACUGGUUAUGGAAUUCCUGACUGGCUCAGAUUUUGGUUUUCUAGCCCCCAGUGCUGUGAAGAGGUCUGAUACAAUGCUGAUUUCUGGCCCUUUUGCUCUGGAAGUUUUGAGGAGAUUCUGUUUAUCCUUUGUGUCCUUUAAAUUUCCUGAGUUUGUGCCAUAAUAGAGGUCUUUUUCAUUUAAUAUACCUUUUUUUUUCUUUUUCUUUUUCUUUUUUUUUUUUUUUUGACAGGGUCUCACCUCACUCCCAUCGCCCAGGCUGGAGUGCAGUGGUGUGAUCACAGCUCACUCCAGCCUCGACUUCCCAGGCUCAGGUGAUCCUCUCACCACAGCCUCCCAAGUGGGUGGGACUACAGGUGUGCACCACCAUGCCCAGCUAGUUUUUUGUAUUUUUAGUAUUUACCUCCAUUCUACAGCUGUUAAAACAGAGGCAUCAGAAGGAAGAACAGCUUUCCUUGGUCAGUGAGGACGGGAAGAAGCUCUAGUGUUUCCUCUCCUCCAUUCCUUCUGGGUAUAAUGGCCACCCAUUGCAGUGGGCUUUGAUUUUUUUCCAAGAAUGGAGCUUGGAACCCCAUAGAAAUUGUGUUUUGUUAAUAAGCUGACGGAAGGAUUUUUGGUGUCGAUUUUAAAUUCCCAUAGUCUGCUUCUAGCGAAGCUCCACACCUCUCAUUUACUCUCUCUCUCCUCUUCAGGGGCCAAAGAACAAAGUGUAGUCAACUGUUUUGAAGCCACCCUGUUUUGAAGAGGCGUUUUCCACUCAGGUGGCCUUGCGCCAAAUGGCCAACCCUGCCCACUGUACGGAAACAAUAGAUGCUGCCUUAGAAGGGAGCAAGCUGGCACUGCCCUGGUAUGUGGGUGCGGCCAGGAAGCUUUGGGCCAAACUGUGCAGACUUGCUGUCUCAGGAUUAGCACUUUCUACAGCCAGAGUGGAGACGAAGGGCAGUAGGCACACAGCCCUUCCUCCUGGAGAUGAAAGGGGUCUGUAGGUGGAUGAGGACCUUGUUCACCAAAAGUCACAGGAGGAAGUCAAAGAGGAGGAGAUAGAAACAUAGUGGUGCUUCUAUCACCUAUAAAUUCUGCAUUCAUGAAAAAAAAAGUCCACAAAAUUAUGGCCCUGAACCAAUCUGUAUCAACCCUGAACAUGCUGGAUGCCACCCACUGUGGGUUGGGCAGAAGAUGGUGCAGGCCUGACAGAAGUUGGUAACCAAUACUGUGCCAGAGGCUUGGUGUGGCAGGAGGUGACAGGACAAAGGUACCAGAGGAUGCCAGCUGGGUGUCAGCCUUCUUAGCUGUCAGAACUGGUCUUGGAAAAAAGGACAGCCGUUGGGUAUGCUUUUGUAAGAGGCAUUUUUACUCUUGCAGACAGCUGCCUCUCCCUUCCUUCCUGUGACUGAACAGGCCAGAGAGGAAGGUCAAAGGCAGGCAGGAGAACAAGGACAAAGGCAUAAAGUGUGGAUUGUACAUGGACUCCUGUUCUAAUCCAGCUCACUUACCAGCUUUCUAUGUCAAAAAACAAAAAAUUAGAAACUUGGAUGGGAAAGAGGCUGGCACAAAUGUAAAUUAUGAACUGAGUUCCAAAGGAAAAGAGUCAACAGAUAAGAGAUUCUUGUGGGUACCCUACCUGCGAAUUACUGAUGGGCAUGGAAAAAAAAAACCCACUAGCCCCAGUUUCCCAAUAUAGAAGCAAAGGUCAACAGCAGUACCUCGAAAUGUCUGGGAAGUGAAAGUGACAGAGAAAAAGAGGACUUGUGGACAUAUGCGUUGGCCUUUUUUAUCUGAGGGUGCUAUGGCUGGUGAAGAUGGGCUGCGUUCUGGGUCCCUCGGAGAGCUGCUCCUGAGCUCAUGUCUCUGUCCCAGCAGCAGGAGCCCCUCAGUGCUACAGAAUGUGAGGUCUGCUAUGAGUCCAAAAGACCAGACAUGUGACACAUUCCUCUGCUUUCUGGAGCAUAGUAUCAGCCCUUAGAAGCAGCUGUUCACCUCUCCUUUAGUAGCUCAGCAAGAAUUCAGUUCAGUAAAAAUUUAUUUAGCACCUACCCUGCUCCAGGUACUCUCUAGGCACUGAGAGGGGGUUUUCCUGUACUGUGCCCAGAACUCUGCUCCUCAGGCCUUUCUCAGCUCAGGAUACUGGCUUAAGCAGCUAAACUGAUCACAAGUGCCACCCUUCCAUGCUGCUAAAAACCCAUGCUGUUCUCCUAGACAAAGUUAAUGUCUGGCUCAACAUACCACACCUUCUCUCUUAAGUCCUUAAGUUCUGAGAAAGGGAUCCCAGGAGGGAUGCAGGACUCUUGAUGUUGAAUGAGAGGCAAGACCCUCCACUCCUGUUGCUCGACCCUCUCCCAGGUCCCCUAGAGGAAAGGCUCAUCCUGUGGCUUCUCCCUCCUAAACCAAUCCCUGUGCAUCCCUUUGUUUGUGCCACGUCCACACACUAAUCUCUCUGUCUUGUGUUGGCAGAUGCUGGUGGGAUGGAGCUGCAGUUUGUGUCUCUGAAGCAGAUUAAACACUGUCUGCCCCAGCCUGUCUUAACUAUCUUCUCACUGGUUAACAGUCCUUGGAAGAAUAAACAAUCCACACAAGCUCUCAGAAAGCAGAAGUUCCAUGAUUCGUGACCAGAGUCUCAUAGCACAGAAUUCAUCUCUAAAAACAGAGACAGAGUCUUGCUCUGGCACCCAGAAUGGAGUACAGCAGUGCAACCAUGACUCACUGCAGCCUUGACCUCCCAGCCUCAGAUGAUCCUCCCACCUCAGUCUCCCAAGUAGUUAGGACUACAGGUGUGCACCACCACACCUGGAGAAUUAUUUUUUAAAACUUUUGUAGAGAUGGAGUCUUACGAUGUUGCCCAGGCUGGUCUCAACUCCUGGGCUCAAGCAAUCCCCCUGCUUUGGCCUCCCAAAGUGCUGGGAUUACAGGCAUAAGCCACCAUGCCUGCCCCCUCCUUUUUUUUUUUUUUUGUAUUUUUAAUUGAUGUAUCAUAGUUGUACAUAUUUUUGGGGUAUGUGUGAUAUUUGAGAUAUGUAUACAAUGUGUAAUGAUCAAAUCAGGUUAAUUGGGAUAUGUGUCAUCUUAAAUACUUAUCUUUCUGUGUUGGGAACAUUACAGUUCUUCUAGCUAUUUUGAAACAUACAAUAAAUUAUUGUUAACUAUAAUUUUCUUACUGUACUGUUGAAUACUAGAACUUCUUCCUUCUAAUUUUAUUUUUGUACCCAUUAACCAACUUCUCUUCAUUCCCCCUGCCCCCACUCCCUGCCUCUCCUCUGAUAAACACCAUUCUACUCUCCACUACUGGCCACUUCCAUGAGAUCCACUUUUUAAACUCACACACAUAAAUGAAAAUAUUUGACAUUGGUGCCCAAUAAUGUGUAGUUCCAUCCAUGUUGCUACAAAUGACAGGAUUUCAUUAUGUUUGUGGUGAAAAAAUAUUUCACUGUGAAUAUAUACCACAUUUUCUUUAUCCAUUCAUCUACUGAUGGACACAGGUUGAUUCCAUAAUCUUGGUUAUUGUGAAUAGUUCUACAGUAAACAUUGGAGUGCAGAUACCUCUUCGAUAUAUUGACUUCUUUUGGAUAUAUACCCAACAGUGAGAUUCCUGGAUCAUAUGGUAGUUUUAUUUUUAGUUUAUUGAGAAGCCUCCAUACUGUUUCCAUAGUGGCUAUUGUACUUACAUUCCCACCAACACUAUACCAGGGUUCCUCUUUCUCUGCAUCCUUGCCAGCAUUUGUUAUUUUUUUCUCUUUUUGAUAAUAGAUUUUCUAACUGAAGUGAGUUAAUAUCUCAUUGUGGUUUUGAUUUGCAUUUCCCUGAUGAUUAGUGAUGUUGAGCAUUUUGUAAUCUACCUGUGGCCAUUUGUAUGUCUUCUUUUGAGAAAUUUUUACCCAGCUCUUUUGCCCAUUAAAAAAAUCAGAUUGUUAUUUUGCUAUUGAAUUGUUUACAUUUCUUACAUAUUCUAUGUAUUAAUUCAUUGUUAGAUGGAUAGUUUGCAGAUAUGUUCUUCCAUUCUGAAGGCUGUCUCUACACUUUGUUCCUUCCUUUGCUGUCUAGAAGCUUCUUAGCUUGAUGUAUUCCCAUUUUUCUAUUUUUUGCUUUGACUUCCUAUUCUUUUGUGGUCCUACCCUAAAAAAUCUUUGCCCAAACCAAUGUCCUGUAGCAUUUCUUCAGUGUUUUAUUCUAGCAGAUUCAUAGUUUUAGGUCUUACAUUUAAGUCUUGAAUUCAUUUUGAGUUGAUACUUGUAUAUGAUGAAAGACGGGGAUCUGGUUUUAUUUUUCUGCAAACAGAUAUACAGUUUUCCCAGCACCAUUUAUUAAGGAGACUCUUCCCCCCCCCAGUAUGUGUUCUUAGUGCCUUUGUUGAAAAUGAGUUGGCUCUAAGUACACAGACUUAUUUCUGAGUUCUUCAUUCUGUUCCAUUGGUCUAUGUGUCUGUUUUUAUACCAGUACUAUGCUUUUUUGGCUACUAUACCUCUGUAGUAUAAUUUGUUUGUUUUCUGAGACAGGGUCUCUCUCUGCUGCCCAGGCUGGAGUGCAGUGAUGAAAUCUUAACUCACUGCAACCUCCGCCUCCCGGGUUCAAGUGAUUCUCCUGCCUCAGCCUCCCAAGCAGCUGGGAUUACAGGUACCCGUGACCAUGCCCAGCUAAUUUUUGUAUUUUUAGUAGAGACGGGGUUUCGCCAUGUUGGCCAGACUGGUCUCGAACUCCUGGCUUCAAACAAUCUACCUGCCUCAGCCUCCCAAAGUGCUGGGACUAGAAGCAUGAGCCACUGCAUCUGGCCUGUAGUAAAAUUUGAAGUCAGAUAAUGUGAUGUUUCCAGGUUUGUUCAUUUUGUUCAGGAUUGCUUUGGCUAUUUGGGGUCUUUCGUGUUUUCAUAUAAAUUUUAGGAUUUUUUUUUCUAUUUCUGUGAAGAACUGUCAUUGGUAUUUUUAUAGGAAUUGCAUCAAAUCUGUAGAUUGCUUUGGGUAGUAUUGUCAUUUUAACAAUAUUAAUUCUUCUGAAAAGUUAGCAUGGGAUGUCUUGCCCUUUUUAUCCUCUUCAAUUGCUUUAAUCAAUGUUUUGUAGUUUUCCUUGUAGAAGUCUUCCACCUCCUAAAUUUAUUCCUAGGCAUUUUAUUUGUAGAUGUUGUAAGAUUGCUUUAUUGGUUUCUUUUUCAGAUUGUUGGCUGCUGGCAUAUAGAAAUUUUACUGAUUUUUGUAUGUUGAUUUUAUAUCCUGUAACUUUGCUGAAUCUGUCACUUCUAAUAGGUUUUUUGGUGGACUCUUUAGGUUUUUCUAAAUAUAAGAUCACGUUGUUUGCAAACAACGAUAAUUCAACUUCUUCCUUUCCAAUUUGCAUGCCCUUUAUUUCUUUCUCUUGACUAAUUGCUUUGGCUAAUACUAUGUUGAAUAAAAGUGGUGAAAGUGGGCAUCCUUGUCUUAUUCUAGUUCUUAGUGCAAAGGCUUUCCAUUUUUUCCCAUUUAAUAUUAGCUGUAGGAUUCUCACAUGUGGCCCUUAUCACACUGAGGUAUGUUCUUUCUUUCUUUUUUUUUUUUUUUUUUUGAGAUGGAGUCUUGCUCUGCUGCCCAGGCUGGAAGUGCAGUGGUGUGAUCUCAGGUCACUGCAACCUCCACCUCCCAGGUUCAAGCAAUUCUCCUGCCUCAGCCUCGCAAGUAUCUGGGACUACAGAUGUGUACCACCAUCCCUUGCUCUUUUUUUUGUAUUGUUUUAGCAGAGGCGAGUUGUAUUAGGGUUCUCUUUUACUGUAUUAGUUCGUUUUCAUGCUGCUGAUAAAGAUACCCAAAAUUGGGAACAAAAAGAGAUUCAAUUGGACUUACAGUUCCACAUGGCUGGGGAGGCCUCAGAAUCAUGGCAGGAGCAAAAGGCACUUCUUACAUGGCAGUGGCAAGAGAAAACUGAGGAAGAAGCAAAAACAGAAACCCCUGAUAAACCCAUCAGAUCUCAUGAGACUUAUUCACUAUCACAAGAAUAGCAUGGGAAAGACCAGCCCCCAUGAUUCAGUUACCUCCCACUGGGUCCCUCCCACAACAUAUGAGAAUUCUGGGAGAUACAAUUCAAGUUGAGAUUUGGGUGGGGAGACAGCCAAACCACAUCAUUCUGCCUCUGGCUCCUCCAAAUCUCAUGUCCUCACGUUUCAAAACCAAUCAUGCCUUCCCAACAGUCCCCCAAAGUCUUAACUCAUUUCAGCAUUAACCCAAAAGUCCACAGUCCAAAGUCUCAUCUAAAACAAGGCUAGUCCCUCCUGACUGUGAGCCUGUAAAAUCAAAAACAAGCUAGUUACUUCCUAGAUACAAUGUGGGUACAGAUAUUGGGUAAAUACAGCCAUUCCAAUUGGGAGAAAUUGGCCAAAACAAAGGAUUACAGGGCCCAUGCAAGUCCAAAAUGCAGUGGGGCAGUCAAAUUCUAAAGCUUCAAAAUGAUCUCCUUUAACUCCAGGUCUCACAUCCAGGUCACGCUGAUGCAAGAGGUGGGUUUCCAUGGUCUUGGGCAGCUCCACCCCUGUGGAUUUGCAGGGUACUACCUCCCUCCUGGCUGCUUUCAUGGGCUGACAUUGAGUGUCUGCAGCUUUUCCAGGUGCACGGUGCAAGCUGUUGGUGGAUCUACCAUUCUGAGGUCUGGAGUACAGUGGCCCUCUUCUCAUAGCUCCAUUAGGCAGUGCCCUAGUAGGGAUUCUAUGUGGGGGCUCUGACCCCACAUUUCCCUUCCACAACAUCCUAGCAGAGGUUCUCCAUGAGGACCCCACCGCUGCAGCAAACUUUUUCCUGGGCAUCCAGCCAUUUCCAUUCAUCUUCUGAAAUCUAGGCCGAGGUUCCCAAACCUCAAUUCUUCUGUGUACCCACAGGCUCAACACCACAUAGAAGCUGCCAAGGCUUGGGGCUUCAACCCUCUGAAGCCACAGCCUAUGCUCUGUGUUGGCCCCUUUCGGCCAUGGCUGGAGCGGCUGGCACACAGGGCACCAGCAUGGGUACUCCCCUGGGCCCGGCCCACAAAACCACUUUUUCCUCCUGGGCCUCCAGGCCUGUGAUGGGAGGGACUGCUGUGAAGGUCUCUGACAUGGCCUAGAGAGACAUUCUCCCCAUGGUCUUGGGGAUUCAUAUUAGACUCCUUGCUAUUUAUGCAAAUUUCUGCAGCCAGCUUGAAUUUCUCCUCAAAAAAAUUGUUUUUUCUUUUCUACUGCAUCAUCAGGCUGCAAAUUUUCUGAACUUUCAUGCUCUGUUUCCCUUUUAAGAUGAUGGAAUGCUUUUUAACAGCACCCAAGUCACCUUUUUGAAUGCUUUGCUGCUUAGAAAUUUCUUCCACCAGAUAACCUAAAUCAUCUCUCUCAAGUUCAAAAUUUCCACAAAUCUCUAGGACGGGGGCAAAAUGCCACCAGUCUCUUUGCUAAAACAUAACAAGAGUCACCUUUGCUCCAGUUCCCAACAAGUUCCUCAUCUCCAUCUGAGACCACCUCAGCUUGGACCUUAUUGUUCAUAUCACUAUCAGCAUUUUUGUCAAAGCUUCUAGGAGGCUCCAAACUUUUCCACAUUUUCCUGUCUUCUUCUGAGUUCUCCAAACUGUUCUAACCUCUGCCUGUUACCCAGUUCCAAAGUUGCUUCCACAUUUUCAGGUAUCUUUUCAGCAACGCCCCACUCUACUGGUACCAAUUUACUGUAUUAGUUCGUUUUCAUGCUGCUGAUAAAGACAUACCCAAAACUGGUAACAACAGAGGUUUAACUGGACUUACAGUUCCACAUGGCUGGGGAGGCCUCAGAAUCAUGGUGGGAGGCGAAAGGCGCUUCUUACAGCGUGGUGGCAAGAGAAAAAAAAGAAGCAAAAGCAGAAACCCCUGAUAAACCCAUCAGAUCUCAUGAGACUUAUUUACUAUCAUGAGAAUAGCACAGGAAAGGCCACUCCCAUGACUCUGUUACCUCUCACUGGGUCCCUCUCACAACAUGUAGGAAUUCUGGGAGAUACAAUUCAAGUUGAAAUUUAGGUGGGUUACACAGCCAAACCAUAUCACAAUUUCACCACACUGGCCAAGGUGGUCUCGAACUCCUGACUUUAAGUGAUCCACCUGCCUCACCCUCCCAAGGUGUUGGGAUUACAGGCCUGAGCCACCAUGCCUGGCCUGAGGUAUGUUCAUUCUAUACCCAGUUUGUUGAGGAUUUUUUUCAUGAAGGACAUUGAAUUUAACUGAAUGUUUUUUCAACAUCCAUUGAAAUAAUCACGUUUUUUGUCCUUCAUUCUGUUGAUGUGAUGUAUCAUGUUUGUUGAUUUGCAUAUAUUGAACCAUCCUUGCAUCCCUGGGAUGAAUCCACUUGAUCCUGGUGAAAGAUCUUUUUAGUGUUUUUGAAUUCUGUUUGCUAGUAUUUUGUGGAGGAUUUUUACAUCUAUGUUCAUCAGUGAUAUUGGCCCACAGUUGAUUUUUUCUUUUAUUUUUUGUUUUUGGUAGUGUGUUUGUCUGGUUUUGGUAUCAGGAUAAUGCUGGCCUGGUAAAAUGAGUUUCUCUCCUCUUCACUUAUUUGAAAUGAUUUGAGUAGAAUUGGUAUUAGGUCUUCCUUAAGUGUUUGCUAGAAUUCAGAAGUGAAUCUGGCAGGUCCCAAGUUUUGAAGGGAGACUUUUUAUUGUAGCUUGAUCUCAUGACUUGUUAUUGGUUUGUUUAGGUUUUCUGUUUCUUCAUGGUUCAAUCAUGGUAGAGUAUGUGUUCAGGAGUUUAUCCAUUUCUUCUAGAUAUUUCAGUUUGUUUGUGUAUAGUUGUUCAUGAUAGUCUAAUGAUUCUAUUUCUGUGGUAUUAGUUGUAAUGUUUCCUUUUUUGUCUCUGAUUUUAUUUGUUUGGGUCUUCUUUAUUUUUAUCUUAGUCUAGCUAAAGGUUUAUCAGUUUUGUCUUUUCAAGAAACCAACUUUUUGUUUUGUUGAUCUUUUUUAUUUUUUUAGUCUCAUUUCAUUUAUUUCUGCUCUGAUCUUUAUUAUUUCUUUCCUUUUACUAAUUUUGGGUUUGGUUUGUUCUCUUCUAGUUGCUUGAUGUGCAUAGUUAAGAUUGUUUAUUUGGAGUCUCUAUUUUUUAAAAAUGUGGAUAUUUACUGCUACAAAAUUCCAUGUUAGUACUACUUUUUCUGUAUCCUAUAGAUUCUUGUAUGUUUUGUUUCCUUUUUAUUUUUUUCAAGAAAUUUCUAAAUUUCCUUCUUAAUUUCUUCACUGACCAACCGGUUGUCUGGAAGCAUGUUGUUUAAUUUCCAUGUAUUUGUACAGUUUUUAACAUUCCUCAUUUUAUUGACAUAGUUUUACUCUAUUGUGGUCAGAAAAGAUACUUGAUAUAAUUUCCACUUUUUUGUAUUUGUUGAGACUUGUUUCAUGGUCCAACAUAUAGUCUGUCCUGGAGAAUGUUCCAUGUGCUGAUGAAGAAUGCGUAUUCUGUAGCAGUUGGGUGAAAUAUUCUGUAAAUGUCUGUUAGGUCCAUUUGGUGUACAGUUUCACUCUGAUGUUUCUUUGUUGAUUUUCUGCCUGAAUGAUCUUUCCAUUGUCAAAAGUAGGAUGCUGAAAUCCCCUCUUACUGCUGCAUUGCAGUCUAUCUCUCCCGUCAGAUCUAUUAAUAUUUAUUUGCUUUGUAUAUUUGGGUACUCUGGUGUUGGGUGUGUAUAUAUUUACUAUUGUUAUAUCCUCUAGCUGAAUUGACCUCUUAAUCAUUAUAUGAUAACCCUAUUUAUCUCUUUUUACAGUUUAUAAUUUAAAGUCUAUUUUAGCUCAUAUAGUUACUCCUGCUCUUUUUUGGUUUCCAUUGCAUGGGAUAUCAUCUUUCUAUCCCUUCACUUUCAGUCUAUGUGUAUCUUUACAGGUGAAUUGAGUUUCUUGUAGACAGCACAUUGUUGGGUCUUGUUUUUUAAUCCAUGCAGCUACUCUUUGUUUUUUUAAUUGGAGAAUUCAGUCCAUUUACAUUCAAUGUUACUAUUGAUAGAUAAGGUCUUACUGCCAUAUUGUUACUUGUUUACUAGCUGUAGGUAAUUCCUCUCUUCCUUUCUUUGUCUUUCUUUGUGGUUAAGUGAUUUUUCUCUAGUAGUAUGUUUUGUUACUUUUUAUUUUUAGUCUAUCUGUUACAGGUUUUAGCUUUGUAGUUACCAUUAAGCUUACAAAACACAUCCUACAGUUAUAACAGGUAUUUAAAACUGAUGCCAACUUAAUUUUGAUCAUAAAAAAGCAAAGAAACAACCCAAACAGAUUAACUCCCUUCUUCCUCCACAUUUACAGUUUUUGAUGUCACCAAUUACCCUUUUUUAUUGCCUGUCUCUUAACAAAUUAUUUUCAAAAUUAUUUUAAUAGUUUUGACUUUCAGUCUUUUGGCCAAAGAUAUAAGUGGUUUAUCACAAUUACAAUAUUACUAUAAUAAUUAUGUUAGAGUUCUUUUCUUUCAGUUUGAAGAAUUUCCUUUAGCAUUUUUUGUGGGACAGUUCUGGUUGCUAUAAAUAUAAAGUCCGUCUGGGAUAGUCUUUAUCUCUCCAUUUCUGAAGAACUUUUCUUGAUACAGUAUUCUUGGUUGGCCAUUUUUUUCCUACAACACUCUGAAUAUUAUCAUCUCCCUCCUGGCCUGAAAAGUUUCUGCUGAGAAGUCUGAUGCCAGGAGUAUUGGAUCUCCCUUAUAUGUUAUUUGCCUCUUUUCUCUUGCUGCUUUUAGAAUCCUCUCUUUGUCUUUCAUUUUUGCAAGUUCAAUGUAAUAUGUCUUGGGAUAUUCUUAUUUGGGUUGAAUCUGAUUGGUGAUCUUUGAUCUUCCUGGCUUUGGUAUUUGUAUCUUUCUCCAGGGUUGGAAAGCUUUCUAUUAUUUCUCUGAAGAAGCUUUCUACCCCUUUGUCUUUCUCAGUUCCAUCUUUAACUCCAAUAAUGAAUAUUUUCUUUUUUGAUGUUGUCUCAUAGAUACUGUAAGCUUUGUUCAUUCUUUUUAUUCCUUUUUUUUCCUCUGUGUAUAUCCAAAUAAUCUGUCACUGAUUAAUUCUGCCAUUGAUGCUCUAUAUUGCAUUUUUCAUUUCAUUCAUUGUAUUUUUUCAGCUCCAGGAUUUUUUGAUCUUUAAAAUUUUUUCAAUGUCUCUAUUAAAUUUUUCUGACACAUUUCUGAAUUGAUUUUCUGUUUUCUGGAAUUUCAUUGAGUCUCCUUAAAGCAGCUAUUUUGAAUUAUUUGUAUGAGAGAUCACACAUCUCUAUCACUGUAGGGUUGGUCUCUGGCACCUUGUUUUAUCUCAUUUGUGAGGUCAUAUUUCCCUGAAUGUUUUUGAUGCCUGUAGAAGUACAACACUGUCUACAUAUUUAGGAAUUAGGUAUUUAUUUUAGUCUUUGCAUUCUGGCUUUGUUUGUGCCUGUCCUUCAGAGGGUCUUUCGGAUUCUAAGCUGACUGACUGUUGUAUUCCCUGAGCCUGUGACCACUGCAGCCAGAUAUCUUAGCACUAGAGGACACUCCAAGCCCAGGCUUGCCGUGAGUUUCAUGAGGACUCUGAGGUUGACAUGGCUUUCCAGCCCAGAUGGACCUACAGAAGACCCCAGGCAGAUACUGGACUGAGGGACCUGAGUCCAGAAAACUGUCCUUGUGGCCCAGACAAGUGUGUCUCCCAGCAGAUCUCUGCAUUUCUCAACUGCAGCAAGAGGAGAUGGAGUUGAGACUGGACCACUUCAGGAUCAGCUGUGAGGAGGAGCUGGUGGGCCUAUCUCAUUGUCUCAGAUGAACAUGCAUCACCCAGCUGGUCCCUGUAUGAGUGGGGUAGUUCCUAGACUGCAGCAGUAGGGGCUAGAGCUGAGACUGGGCCCCAUGGAAUCUGCUAUGAGAGACUGGAGAGCCCAGUCUCAGCUCAGAGGGGUUUAUAUCACCCAGCAAGUUUCUGCACAAAUAAGAUAGUUUCUUGUCUACAGCAGGAGGGGCUGGAGCUGAGUCUGGGUGUCCUUGGGAUCUGCUGUGGGAUGGAAGCUAAAGAGUCUGUCUUGUUGGGCCAGACAAGUACACAUCUCCCAGCAGGUCUCAGCACAAAUAGGAUAGUUCCCUGGUUGCUGCAGAGGGCAGGGUGCAGCUGAGACUGAGUCCACUUGGGAUCUGCUAUGAGACAGAGGUUGGCAAGUGUGUUGGGGACAUUCAGACUUCUGGGUUGUGAGAUAUGGGCAAGUCUCCUUCUGGGUCCUUGUAUGAGCACCUCUGAACUGAGACAUCAGCUGAGAAAGGCUGGAGCAGAGCCACAGGGCCACUUCAAGGUUCACUGCUGAGACUGAUGUCAGUGGACAGACGAGUCUUUCUGCCAAGGCUCUAGUAUGCGCAAUUCCUUCUAGACUCCUUGGCAGAUAGUUUUGGUUGCAAGCUCAAGGCCAAACAGGGCUGUGCCAAUGGCAGACCCCAAGGGGUCCCAGUCUCAGCUCUGGCCCCUCCUGCUGUAGCUGGGGAAUGAUCCUAUCCAUGCAGAAACUUUCUUGGCCAUUCCCAGGCAUGAACCUGGAAGCAAGCUCACCAGAUCAACUGACCUGGGUGUUGGUCUGUACUUUCAAAACAACCCUCCUAGGUCUUGGGCCCUCUCAGGGUUUCACAAACUCCUAUCUGAAUCCUGAGGCUCCCACUGACAGACUUUUGACUGUAGAUGGGUACAAAAAUUCUUGUACCCAUAUUGUAGUUGGGGGAUAUGAGCAGGUUGCCUUCUAUUUUGCCAUCUUGGUGAUGACACUCAGUAAAUGCUUUCUUCAUAUUGACUUUCUGGUCCUGCUAAUCUGUGAAAUGGAGAGAGCCACUGUAUCUCUUAGCUGUGUUAAUCGAAAUAUCUGAGUGAUCGUCCAAGACAAGGAAAGAAUCUGACUACAAGGGCCCUGGAGGAAGACCCCUGGCCCCAGAAUCAUUUCUCUGCCUCCACCUCUCGAUGGCCCUUCUAAGAGAAAAGAUACAUUUAUGGAAGUACAGACUGAUUCAGAAAGUGGGGGACAUAGUGGAAGGGAGCUAACGUCUGCUACGUCCCCCGUGUGUCAGGUAUGAAAUGCAAACUCUCAUUUUACCCUCACAGCAACUCAAUGAAGGUGAGAAUGUCUAGCUCCCUUUCCUAAGUAUAUGUACACAAAUGUGGAGGCAAUGCACAGUGUUGAGGUGUGCACUGCUUCCACGAAGUUGAGGAAGACCACUCUUGUUAGUAAUCAAGUACUUGCCUCAUGUGACAAAAUACAUGCUUUCCUAAAGAAGUACAUGAAGUUAAGUCACAGAUGAAAUCCUACUAAUCUGCAGUUUGCAUUUAAGCACUCAGUAAUUCCAGGCAUGGUGCUAAGCACUUUACCUAAUCUCACUCAAUCUUCACAACAAACUCUGCAAAACACAUAUAUUAUUAUCCCCAUUUUUUAGGUUAAGAUAUGGAGAUUUGCCGAGGCUGAGUAAUACAGUCAGGGUUGCACAACUACUAAGUGGCAGAGUCAGGAUUUGAACUCAUCUCUGCCUGACUUCCAAGGAUCUCUGUGUCCUCAGACAUAAGGAAAAUCACAAUGGAGAAAAUACUUCAGUUAUAUAUUGUAAGGAAAAUAUUAUUUCCUAAUAAAAAUCAAAGGAGUCAAAAUUACUGAAGUUGAACAUCCCAUCAAAGUUUCUCUGUCACCCUACAAGGUAGAGAGCAGUGGGAAAAAAAGGGACAGUCAGCUUUAAGUUUUGUUCCUUGAUUUGCUGCCAUGCUCCUUCAGGAUAAGAACUCCUGUGGAAUAGAUCAGACUUGGAUAUGGAAUUUAAAUAGAUAGUUCAAGUUCUUUUUCCCUCUCAUUUCAGGCUUAGAAUCUAGCAAAGUUACAAGGGAAAUUCUUCCACUGGGUAUGUAAAAUGUUAAGCCCCUGAGAGUAGAUGACUCUUUGCUUCUCUGACCUAUACUAGAAUAAUGUAUAAAAUGGAAACUGCAAUAAAUGAAUAUAACCAAAUGACACAGACACACAUCUGCACACCCACUGUCUGUGUCCGAAUGCUGAUACACUGCAGGUACAGUACAGUGACAGGGUGUUCCUGGGAAGCCGAUCAAUGAUACCCUUCCACAGUUCAGGCUUUAUUACAGGAGGUAUUCAUUAGCUAAUUACAAUUAGUCGAGUACCCUGGUGUGCCUUCUUCAAGAACUCCUUUAAAUGCUCCUCUUUUAUUCUAUUUUCAAGUUCCAAAAGCAGAUGCUUCUUUUAUGGAAAAGCCUAAUUGCUGUGGAAUCUAAUGCAUGUCCUACUUCCAUAGCCAAAUCUCCUCCUUCCUGUUUAAUGGACAGCAUUCUCAUGACUCACCUUUGAUUUAUGGGCUGGAAGGCACCACACCUUUUUUCGGUCCUGCCUGCACAUAUUGUUAAGUGUGAUCAACUCUGGAAAAAAGCAUUCAUGAGUUAUGUCAAUAAUAUGAGACAUUAAAAGAGACUUGUCCUACAAACAAAACAGUAAAUGACAAAUGCAAGUUGUUUUAGUCCCAUGUGCUUCUCUACCGCACCCUAGAGCCUAUAAUGAUUCCGUUUUCUUCAUGUUUGUGGCACAAGGAAUGCCUGAAAACUCAUCCUUAGAUAACAUGCGCCUCAUUAGUAUUUGUUCAUUCUAACAUUUUAAAUUCUUUUGAAUUGGCAAAAAAGGAACAAAGAGAAGUGAAAUUUAGAUACCUAACAGAUAGUGGAAAAUAACAAAACAGCAGCCUAUAAAUCAAUGGAAUGUGGCGACUGUGUGUUCUGUGGUGGUGGUUCUUGUUCUGGAUGGUAUAUAUCUCUGAAUAAUUUCCCAGUAUUCACUCAAUUUGACGCUACUAUGAAAAAAUUAUGUCUCUAAAAUCCACAUUCCAAAUAACUCUUGUUGCAGAUAAUUCCCUUCUUCCCUUUUCCCAUCCUAACAGAAUACAAUUUUGUUCAGAGGAUGACAGAAAAUAUAUCCCAUUAAAUACUUGCCUAACACACUGAGUGGCCUGUGACACAGGUCUGGUUAGUGAUGCUGACAAAAGGCUUCUAGGUAUUUAUGUGAAAGCUCUUGUGUUUCUACUCAAGCACUGCUCCUUCCGCCUUCAGCGCUGAUGUGAAGCCUAGAGCUGCGGCAGCCAUCUUGCAACCGUGAGAUGAGGAGCGUGAGAAUUACAGCCUACAGCUAAGGGUGGCAGAGAAGAAUGGCAGGAGCCUGGGUCCAGGAUGGCACCACUGCCUCCUUUGCUAGCUUCAGACUUCUUAUUGCUUGAAAUAAAUGCCCAUCACAAUUGUUUAAGUCA